CUCGUAGUUGGAUUUCGGUUGAGAACGGCCGGUCCGCCGUUUGGUGUGCACUGGCUGGUCUCAACUUCCUGUAGAGGACGCGCUCUGGGUUAACGCUCGGACGCGGAGUCUACGUGGUUACUUUGAAAAAAUUAGAGUGUUCAAAGCGGGCUUACGCUUGAAUAUUUCAGCAUGGAAUAACACUAUAGGACUCCUGUCCUAUUUCGUUGGUCUCGGGACGGGAGUAAUGAUUAAGAGGAACAGUUGGGGGCAUUCGUAUUUCAUUGUCAGAGGUGAAAUUCUUGGAUUUAUGAAAGACGAACUUCUGCGAAAGCAUUUGCCAAGGAUGUUUUCAUUAAUCAAGAACGAAAGUUGGGGGCUCGAAGAUGAUUAGAUACCAUCCUAGUCUCAACCAUAAACGAUGCCGACUAGGGAUUGCAGGAUGUUAAUUGAUGACUCCUGCAGCACCUUAUGAGAAAUCAAAGUUUUUGGGUUCCGGGGGGGAGUAUGGU
rnacentral:rRNA from 1 species